AGACCCGAAACCCGGUGAUCUAGCCAUGGGCAGGUUGAAGGUUGGGUAACACUAACUGGAGGACCGAACCGACUAAUGUUGAAAAAUUAGCGGAUGACCUGUGGCUGGGGGUGAAAGGCCAAUCAAACCGGGAGAUAGCUGGUUCUCCCCGAAAGCUAUUUAGGUAGCGCCUCGUGAAUUCAUCUCCGGGGGUAGAGCACUGUUUCGGCUAGGGGGCCAUCCCGGCUUACCAACCCGAUGCAAACUGCGAAUACCGGAGAAUGUUAUCACGGGAGACACACGGCGGGUGCUAACGUCCGUCGUGAAG
rnacentral:rRNA from 1 species